rnacentral:rRNA from 1 species
ACGGUAACGAACUAGCUUGCUAGUUGCUGACGAGUGGCGGACGGGUGAGUAAUGCUUAGGGAUCUGCCUCUGUGUGGGGGAUAACUAUUGGAAACGAUAGCUAAUACCGCAUAAUGUCUACGGACCAAAGAGGGCUUCGGCUCUCGCGCAGAGAGGAACCUAAGCGAGAUUAGCUAGUUGGUGAGGUAAAGGCUCACCAAGGCGACGAUCUCUAGCUGUUCUGAGAGGAAGAUCAGCCACACUGGAACUGAGACACGGUCCAGACUCCUACGGGAGGCAGCAGUGGGGAAUAUUGCACAAUGGGGGAAACCCUGAUGCAGCCAUGCCGCGUGUGUGAAGAAGGCCUUCGGGUUGUAAAGCACUUUCAGUUGUGAGGAAAGGUUAGUAGUUAAUACCUGCUAGCUGUGACGUUAACAACAGAAGAAGCACCGGCUAACUCCGUGCCAGCAGCCGCGGUAAUACGGAGGGUGCGAGCGUUAAUCGGAAUUACUGGGCGUAAAGCGCUCGCAGGCGGUCUGUUAAGCUAGAUGUGAAAGCCCCGCGCUCAACGUGGGAGGGUCAUUUAGAACUGGCAGACUAGAGUCUUGGAGAGGGGAGUGGAAUUCCAGGUGUGGCGGUGAAAUGCGUAGAGAUCUGGAGGAACAUCAAUGGCGAAGGCAACUCCCUGGCCAAAGACUGACGCUCAUGUGCGAAAGUGUGGGUAGCGAACGGGAUUAGAUACCCUGGUAGUCCACACCGUAAACGCUGUCUACUAGCUGUUUGUGGAUUUAAUCCGUGAGUAGCGAAGCUAACGCGAUAAGUAGACCGCCUGGGGAGUACGGCCGC